AUUGAACGCUGGCGGCAGGCUUAACACAUGCAAGUCGAGCGGAGAUGAGGUGCUUGCACCUUAUCUUAGCGGCGGACGGGUGAGUAAUGCUUAGGAAUCUGCCUAUUAGUGGGGGACAACAUUCCGAAAGGAAUGCUAAUACCGCAUACGUCCUACGGGAGAAAGCAGGGGAUCUUCGGACCUUGCGCUAAUAGAUGAGCCUAAGUCGGAUUAGCUAGUUGGUGGGGUAAAGGCCUACCAAGGCGACGAUCUGUAGCGGGUCUGAGAGGAUGGUCCGCCACACUGGGACGGAGACACGGCCCAGACUCCUACGGGAGGCAGCAGUGGGGAAUAUUGGACAAUGGGGGGAACCCUGAUCCAGCCAUGCCGCGUGUGUGAAGAAGGCCUUAUGGUUGUAAAGCACUUUAAGCGAGGAGGAGGCUACUGAGACUAAUACUCUUGGAUAGUGGACGUUACUCGCAGAAUAAGCACCGGCUAACUCUGUGCCAGCAGCCGCAGUAAAAC
rnacentral:rRNA from 1 species